UCAAAAUAUUCUUGAAACAGCUUCGCACCUUUUGUAGGAAAUCUUCCACCUAACGUUUUUUCCCAUGUGAGUAAGCCUUACUUAGGAAAAAAUUGAAUUUUCCGUUUCUCACAUAAGGAGUACAUAUUUAGUAUCGUCUAAACGUGCGAUAACGCGUAGGCGCAUGCGCGCAUGACUGUACGCCUGGCCGAGCCACGCUAAAUGUUCCAUUCGAAGGCUGAACUUUCAACGAGGUAUCAUCGACCAUACAUACGAAGUUAACUCGGCGUGAAAAGAUUGCAAUUUAUUUAAGAUUGAAAAAAGGAAAAAAUCUUAAAAGCAAAGAAUUGUCUAGAUAUUAGAAAAUUAAAAAUUUUAUAAGAAAAGAAAGAAAGAAAAAAAAUGCAAUGACUCUCAAAUGAAUUUAUAUGAGAAAAUGAUCGGAUGCUUAUCGUAUUGGUCAUUGAAUCAUUUUCAAAUGACACGAUACCGACAAAUUCUAGAAACAAACGAAAAAAUUGUUUAGUUAAAAAGUUAAAAAAACUAAAAAAAAAAGAGAAAAUGCAGUGACUCUCAAACGAAUGUAUAUGAAAAAAUUAUCGAAUAUUCUUUGUGUAGUAUCACAGAGUAAUCAUUGAAGUAUAAAAUUCUAGAAACAUACAAAAACAUUUUUUAAAUUAGAAAGUUAAAAAUUAUUUAUAUAUAUAUAUACACACAAAACAUGUAUAUAUAUAUAUAUAUAUAUAUAUAUGUGUGUAUACAUAAAAUGCAGUGAUUCUCAAAUGAAAUUUAUAGGAGAAAACGCUCAAAUGCUUUUCCUGUACUAUCAUCACUAAAGUAUUGAAUCAUUCUCUAACGACAAAAAUAACGACGGCAAUGAGGAAAAGACUUAGACGAGACUAGCAAAGUUUCGCGGUUUACGCUAAUGAAGCAGAGCAGCACUGAGCCUUUAUGGUGGUUAUGUACGCUUACGUCAUCAAAUCCAUCGGUUUCGGCCUCGAGCGAGGCUCAGAGCACCGAGGGCACACUCUAGCGGCAUAUAGAGGGAAACACAAGAGGUUAUGUCGUGUCCCUCGAAGCACACCAGGCACCACCAGCUGACGUGUGUGUGUUCUUUUCGAGAACGAUAAAGGAUGACGCACGAGUUACCCAGGAAACGUUCUCUAAGAAAAUCGUUUCGAACGUCUGACUUCUCGUCGUUCUCCUCGUUCUCAUCGUCACCAUCAUCAUCAUCGUUGACGCAUAACAGGGAGGAUAUUGAUGGUUUGACACGAGUAUAUAUGAUAUGAGUAGAAAGAGAUCACUCGACACGUUGGCUAUGUAUGUACAUAUAUCGAACCGUAUUUUAUUUAGCAUCGCACCUGCCUUAUCCUGUCCCUUGUAUUCUUCCCCCCUCGCAGGUGUUUAGAACACGGAAGAAUGCUCCUCUUCUCUCUUCGUGAAGAUAUUCUUACUGCAGUUCAACGCGAGAGCUCUUAUUUGUUAUACCGUUAUUUAUGGAGUCGUCAUAGUGAUAGCAUAAACUGAUACAUGUAUCAAGAUAAUCGAGGAAGUUAUUGCUCAAGAAAAUCAUACGUUAAAAAUAAAAAAUAUGUAUAUGAAUGAAUAAACAACAUUUUUUUUUAUGAUUAAAAAAGAUGAUUGAAAGAUGACCAACAGUAUUUCAAUAACGAAUGUCCUAGGUGAAUCGAAUUUUUUCUUUUUUUUUUUUUUUUCCAUGGCCAAUUAUGUCGCUCGCGCUUUCGGGAUCAUCCCAUUCUCAGUCGCUCCCCUCUCUCUGCGUUCCACUUUUCUCUCAUAAACGCAUAUAUAUAAAUACAGCUGUUACAAUCUUCCGUAAACACUACCACCAAACGUGUUUAUUUUCUCACGAAACAGAUAGAUUAUUACUAUUAUUAUUAAAGUCGUUUUUUUGUCGUUCCCUAACUUACCGAUCGAUCGAUUAAAACAGUCGCAUGGUGGCAGUACAAACUAAAGAAACUGUAUUAUCGACUCAGAGUGAUUUUCUUUAUCGAUAGAUAAAUCUACUUUUCUUUUAUUUUUUUAUUUUUUAAUUUGAUCGACAUGUUUGAAAAGCUAUCAUCUUGUUAUUAUGUGACUCAAGUAUUUAUGUAAC